GUGGAAAUAAUUCAAAAUUUUCUCGAACCAUUCGUGAUUUUCAAAGUUUUGGAAAUGAUUCUAUUCGGGUCAUGAACAAAAGGGUUCGAGAUCUUGAAAAUUUUUUUCGAGCAAGUGGCCCGAUUUGAGGACAAAUCGUCUUCAAGAGGGAGGGUAUGAUGUGAUCCUGAUCGCAUCAUGUAAUGUCACAACCCAACGCCGUCGAGAUUGGCCUAAACACGAGGGUCCCAAGUGCAAGAUGAAGCUAAUUUUUAGCUCAUUUGAAUUUCUUUUCGUGUGGUUCAACUCAUUCGAG
rnacentral:lncRNA from 1 species